AAAUGUCCUCCUGAAUGCUGGCCAGACAAAUGGAAAUCUGCCAGGGUUGGGUACCCCCAUGACAGCAGCCAGCCUGCCCUCUUAGUCCCUGACAGCUGCAGUGACAGCAUCUGUGAUUGCAAAGCGUGACAAUUUAUAUCUCUCAUUUCAUCACACCAUCUAUCAGCAGACAGUCAGGCUUUAAAAAUCAAUCCCACACUGACUCAGUCCCCAGCAGAGAUGGCCUCUGACAACAGUAUCCACACUGCAGGCUGGACAAGGGCCCUAUUAAUUUUGAGACUCAGCCAAAUUUCCUUCUGACCCUAAGCUGGUGAAUCCCUGCUCCUUUGCUUUGGUUGGGGUUGGUGUGAGCUAAGGCUGUGAUCCCAUUUGCUCCUAUGGCCUCCAGGUGGCCUGGGCCUCCAUGAAUGGGCCACAUGGUCAUACUGAAUGCUUGAUUACACUCAGACCUAGCAGUCGUCUGGGCGCAGCUGGUUUAUGGAUCACUUUGUCACAAUGUUCCAUCCUUCCAGGUCCCCAUCCCCGCGGUGGGAAAACAUUGCUUUAGGCAGUGCUAGAGGACUUCAGCAGGCAUUGGCAGCUUCUGGAUUCAGGAUUAGAACAAAGAAGGAGGAGUCACAGCAAAGAUAGGAACAGAAGGCAGAGAGAACAGACAGAUGGGGGUGUUUGAGAAGGAGGGCCUUUGAGACCUCAGGGAGUGGGAGACACUGGCUCGAGAAUAAUAAUAAUGGCAAUUUCUCUCAUCUGUGUUUUCAGGGCAUGGACUGGAACUCCCAAUACCCCUGACAUGGGCUGAGUCAACGUGGUCAUGAACAUGUGACAGGAGGCAGCAGAAGUUGCAGAGAAGAGUGAGGCACGUUUGAAAAAGGCUGAAAAAUGUUUCUGUCCAGGCAAGGGUGUGUGCUGAAUGACUCAAGGAUUUUUUGGGCAACACAAACCAACACGAGCCGUGUGAGGAUCAGGUGACAGCUGCCCAAAAGCUGACACAAGGAACAAGCCUGGAGGAGUGAGGAUGGGUGCUGUGAAGGAGGUUGUGCAGCUGGGCCCGCAGUCGGACCUGGUGAGAUCAGAGGAGGGGGUGCCACCAGUCUGUGGACGAAGAUGAGAAGCUGGAAUAGAGCAGAAAACAGGAGGCUGCCACUCUCCAUCUUUCCCAAAGUCACUCCAGGAGCAAGGGUGUCAUUUACUGAAAUGACAGACUCUCCAUUUCACAUUUUUCCCCCAAGUGCAGAGUGCAGGGAAGCA
rnacentral:lncRNA from 1 species